rnacentral:rRNA from 1 species
CCGAUUCCUACGGGAGGCAGCAGUGAGGAAUAUUGGACAAUGGAUGGAAAUCUGAUCCAGCCAUGCCGCGUGCAGGAAGACGGCCCUAUGGGUUGUAAACUGCUUUUGUAUGGGAGCAAUAAGGUCUAUGCGUAGACUGAUGAGAGUACCAUACGAAUAAGCAUCGGCUAACUCCGUGCCAGCAGCCGCGGUAAUACGGGGGAUGCAAGCGUUAUCCGGAUUUAUUGGGUUUAAAGGGUGCGUAGGCGGUUUGAUAAGUCAGCGGUGAAAUAUUUCAGCUUAACUGAAAGGGUGCCGUUGAUACUGUCAGGCUUGAAUAUGGUUGCUGUGGGUGGAAUGUGUGGUGUAGCGGUGAAAUGCUUAGAUAUCUCACAGAAUAUCGAUUGCGAAGGCAGCUCACAAAGCCAUUAUUGACGCUGAUGCACGAAAGUGUGGGGAUCAAACAGGAUUAGAUACCCUGGUAGUCCACACUGUAAACGAUGAUAACUCGCUGUCGGCGAUACACAGUCGGUAGCCAAGCGAAAGCGAUAAGUUAUCCACCUGGGGAGUACGACCGCAAGGUUGAAACUCAAAGGAAUUGACGGGGGCCCGCACAAGCGGAGGAACAUGUGGUUUAAUUCGAUGAUACGCGAGGAACCUUACCCGGGCUCGAACGGUGCAGGAAUACGUCAGAGAUGAUGUAGCUAGCAAUAGUCUGUAUCGAGGUGCUGCAUGGUUGUCGUCAGCUCGUGCCGUGAGGUGUCGGCUUAAGUGCCAUAACGAGCGCAACCCUUGUCGUUAGUUGCCAUCAGGUAAUGCUGGGAACUCUAGCGAGACUGCCACCGUAAGGUGUGAGGAAGGGGGGGAUGACGUCAAAUCAGCACGGCCCUUACGUCCGGGGCGACACACGUGUUACAAUGGUAGGUACAGAGGGCAGCUACCCAGCAAUGGGGUGCGAAUCUCAAAAGCCUAUCUCAGUUCGGAUCGGAGUCUGCAACUCGACUCCGUGAAGUUGGAUUCGCUAGUAAUCGCGCAUCAGCCAUGGCGCGGUGAAUACGUUCCCGGGCCUUGUACACACCGCC